ensembl:lncRNA
GGGCGGCGCUGGGGCGGGGGCGGCCUCUCGGUCACCUGCGGCCGGGGCGGCUCCGCUCCCCUCCGCCGGCCCCGCCGGGGCGGCCGCGGCGUCACCGGGAACGGUCGGGAAGAGCCGGAGAAACAAAGAACAUGGCGAGGGGAGGAGGAGCUUACGCCGCCUUAACCGCUGGGAAGGGCGCUCCGGGGGCGUACAAUGCCCGCCGCGGGGCGGGUUCGCUUCCCUCCGCCCCCUUUCCCCGCCCUUGUGGCCCGGCUGGCGGGGGGCUGGGGCGGAACGGGAUGGGACGGGCUGAACUAGACUGGAUAGGAGGUGGCCGUCGGGAGCGGGUCCGCUGUCUGCCGCAAGUUUCGCCCAGAGUGGGAAAGUUGGGCGGGAUCCGUCCAGAUUCCUGGAAAUCUGAGGAGCAGACUUUGGCGGGCGAAGAAUGUAAUUCUUCCCGGAGGUGUGGGUACCUCUUAUGAAGGGGACUGAAGUAGGAUCAGCUGAUAUCCAAGAAGCUCAACUUCAGGACAUGCAAGAGUACUUUGGAGUGAACUGGCAGUAAGCCUUGCAGUACCGUGGUGGCAAUAAUACUGGCUGUCCUCUGGAGAUGCUGAAGCUUUGAACUUCUUUAUUAGACCCUCCAACUUGUUCACAAAGGACUUAAAACGGAUUUGGAUUCGUAUGGUCCUGGGUAUGGAUUUUUUCCUCCCAUUUCCUGACAUCUGCGUGUUUCCAGCAGUCAGUGAUGAAGUCAGUGCUAGGUCUGCUGACAUUUGGUCUGUUCUGGGGAGCUCUGAGUGCCAGGUACUGUAAACAUCCUACACUCUCAGCUGUGGAAACUAAGAAAGCUGGGAGAAGGCUGUUUACUCUCCCUGCCUUGGAAAUCAUCUGGAGGGCAAGGAUGGAAUAUUCUGUUGAUUGUAUUUCUGACAGCCUGUAUUUCAUACUUUACAUUAUGGUGUCAGUAAACAAAUUCUGUCAUUACAUCACAUCAUCAAUGUCUUGUGUUCAGACCAAGGUCAGAAGGGCAUUGUCAUAUUCUUCAGUUGUACUGCUGGCUUGAGGGAAGCUUAAAUAGUGCAAUAAUACACUGCAGUACUUCCAUCCUUAAGCAGUGAUUAAAAAAGACCUGUCACACUGUUUGUUUGAAGGUAGUGAUACAUAAAAGUUGCAGUGUGGACAUUCUCAAACUGAUACAUCAGUAUUGUAUUUAAUCAAAAUCACCCUUAAAUGGUUGGGGCUUUUUUCUAAGAUCUACUCAAUUCUUGUUUUCUACCCAAAAGAGCUAGAAACAGAGGUUUGAAAGCAAAAAGAUUGUAGGGGAAUUAAAAUUUCAGUUUCUUUUCGAAGAAAAUCAGAGGUGUUAACAUGAACUCCAGCUCUAAAUUAAAUUAGAAUACAAAGGUCUUAUACCUCAUGUUUUCCACUUGAUGUUCCCUACCACUUGCUCCUCAGACUGUAUCAUACUUUGUGCUUUGUCCUGACAAUCUUUCUCUUCUUCCUUUGUGUUUCUUUCAUUCUGUAUGCUGUAAGCCAAGUCUAACUUACCAGUUUAAAUGUAGAAUAAGCUGAAAAAGUAAUUUUCCUUUUAAAUCUAAUAUCCUGCUGGCAUGAUCCUAAACUCCUAAAGUGAGUUUUGGAGCUUUUCUUAAGCAGGGACUCUGACAGAAAGAAUAUUCUUUCCCUCUUUUCUUUUUCCUUGUUUUAUGGGGAAGGGACACCUUUUGUGUGCUCAAAGAUCACUGUCUAGUUUCUUUUGCAAUAGCAUUUUUAUGUGUUCAGAUCCUUCUGCUUCAGCUUUUUAGGAAAGACAUUCAAAUAUAAAAUCUUUGAAAUAGUUUUCAGGGUUUGGAAAUGGAUGGGAGUGGGAAGACAACAGGUAAAAGAAUGUGUAAGGAUUUGAAGUAGUACUUACUAGUGGACAAAAAAGAAUUUAAACUUUUAUGCAGAACUUUAAAAAGUCAGUUCUUUGAAGUAAUAAUUGUUUUUCAGGCUCUGGCUUGCUUUCCUAUUGGAGGAACCAGUAAGAGGGAAAGCCAGGGUCAAAGUGCUGUAGUGAAGGACUAAGUUGAUGAGUAAAAAGAAGGCUUAUGAUUAAUGUAGUAAUUUCCAAGAAAAGCAGAGUUAACCCCAGAAAAUGAUUGUUUUAAGGAGAUGUAGCUGUUCAGACUAGUCAGACGAUAGGGGGUAGCAUUUCCUAAUGCACAUGGUUCCCUUGGCAGAGAGAGAUUGCUGGGUGUGAUGGAGCACGGUUACUUCCUCCACUGCAUGGCAAUACUGAUUGUAGAUUAUGCUGUCCAGGAAAGACAACCUCCUGAAGGAGAUAAAUUCCUUAAUUUCUGAGAUGUGGGUUUGUAUAUUAUUUUUAUUUAGACAUGUUUUGGGUUUGGAGUCAUUAUUUUGUGUCAAUUGAAAAUACUUCUCUAUAUUUAAUAUUACUUACUUGUACAUUUAAUAAUGAAACUCCUGUUUAAAUGAAACUCCAGUAUAAGACUCCAGUACUCCCAGCUUUGUCAUACAUUUUUCCUGGCUCUGUACUGACAUGAUAUGUUUAAACUGCAAACUAAUUCAGUGACUUGACCCCACUGAAAACUAAGUAAGCAAAACAGCUUUUAUGUGGAUCAGCUGCUUACUCUACCACUGAAAGUCCUAGUUCCUUUAAAUGUGGCCACUUUCCUGAAGAAAAUCACAGCAUUUGUUUUGAAUAGAUUAUGUAGUCCUAAAACAAUAAAAUAGUGAAAUUACAGGAUUUUGAAUAUUCU